AUUGAAGGCAGUCUUACACGUU
rnacentral:siRNA from 1 species